rnacentral:rRNA from 1 species
ACGGGAGGCAGCAGUGGGGAAUAUUGGGCAAUGGGGGAAACCCUGACCCAGCAACGCCGCGUGAGAGAAGAAGGUUUUCGGAUUGUAAAUCUCUUUUGUCAGGGACGAAAUUUGACUGUACCUGACGAAUAAGCCCCGGCUAACUACGUGCCAGCAGCCGCGGUAAUACGUAGGGGGCUAGCGUUGUCCGGAAUUACUGGGCGUAAAGGGCGUGUAGGCGGUUUUUCAAGUCAGAUGUGAAAUACCCGGGCUUAACUUGGGGGCUGCAUUUGAAACUGGAGAACUUGAGUGCAGGAGAGGAAAGCGGAAUUCCUAGUGUAGCGGUGAAAUGCGUAGAUAUUAGGAGGAACAUCAGUGGCGAAGGCGGCUUUCUGGACUGCAACUGACGCUGAGACGCGAAAGCGUGGGGAGCAAACAGGAUUAGAUACCCUGGUA